rnacentral:rRNA from 1 species
GACAGAGGGUGCAAACGUUGUUCGGAAUUACUGGGCGUAAAGCGUGCGCAGGCGGUGAUGUAAGACAGGUGUGAAAUCCCCGGGCUUAACCUGGGAACUGCAUUUGUGACUGCAUCGCUGGAGUGUGGCAGAGGAAGGUGGAAUUCCACGUGUAGCGGUGAAAUGCGUAGAGAUGUGGAGGAACACCGAUGGCGAAGGCGGCUCGCUGGGCCGUUCCUGACGCUGAGACGCGAAAGCUAGGGGAGCGAACAGG